rnacentral:tRNA from 1 species
UAAUAGCUAGUUUAUACAAAAUAAAUGAUUUCGACUCAUUAGAUUAUGAUUUACUCAUAGCUAUUAA